GCGCCGGUGGUGUAAGGCGAACAUCGCUGCCCGGAAAGCAGAAGAUGCGGGUUCGAGUCCAGUUUGGCGCA
rnacentral:tRNA from 1 species